rnacentral:rRNA from 1 species
GACGAACGCUGGCGGCGUGCUUAACACAUGCAAGUCGAACGGUGAUGGCCAGCUUGCUGGUCUGAUCAGUGGCGAACGGGUGAGUAACACGUGAGCAACCUACCCUUCACUCUGGGAUAAGCCCUGGAAACGGGGUCUAAUACCGGAUAUGAGACGUACAGGCAUCUGUAGCGUCUAGGAAAGAUUUAGUCGGGUGGGGA